rnacentral:rRNA from 1 species
CGAGGACGAACGCUGGCGGCGUGCUUAAUACAUGCAAGUCGAACGGUAAGGCCCUUCGGGGUACACGAGUGGCGAACGGGUGAGUAACACGUGGGUGAUCUGCCCUGCACUUCGGGAUAAGCCUGGGAAACUGGGUCUAAUACCGGAUAGGACCAUGGACUUCACGGUUUGUGGUGGAAAGCUUUUGCGGUGUGGGAUGGGCCCGCGGCCUAUCAGCUUGUUGGUGGGGUAAUGGCCUACCAAGGCGACGACGGGUAGCCGGCCUGAGAGGGUGUCCGGCCACACUGGGACUGAGAUACGGCCCAGACUCCUACGGGAGGCAGCAGUGGGGAAUAUUGCACAAUGGGCGCAAGCCUGAUGCAGCGACGCCGCGUGAGGGAUGACGGCCUUCGGGUUGUAAACCUCUUUCAAUAGGGACGAAGCGCAAGUGACGGUACCUAUAGAAGAAGCACCGGCCAACUACGUG